CCUACGGGAGGCAGCAGUGAGGAAUAUUGGUCAAUGGACGAGAGCCUGAACCAGCCAAGUAGCGUGAAGGAUGACUGCCCUAUGGGUUGUAAACUUCUUUUAUAUGGGAAUAAAGUGUUCCACGUGUGGGAUUUUGUAUGUACCAUAUGAAUAAGGAUCGGCUAACUCCGUGCCAGCAGCCGCGGUAAUACGGAGGAUCCGAGCGUUAUCCGGAUUUAUUGGGGUUAAAGGGAGCGUAGGUGGAUUGUUAAGUCAGUUGUGAAAGUUUGCGGCUCAACCGUAAAAUUGCAGUUGAAACUGGCAGUCUUGAGUACAGUAGAGGUGGGCGGAAUUCGUGGUGUAGCGGUGAAAUGCUUAGAUAUCACGAAGAACUCCGAUUGCGAAGGCAGCUCACUGGACUGCAACUGACACUGAGGCUCGAAAGUGUGGGUAUCAAACAGGAUUAGAUACCCUGGUAGUC
rnacentral:rRNA from 1 species